UUAUCACUUUUUAGCUUCAGCUAUGUUUUGUGUUGGACACAGUUUCCCUUCUAGUCUGUGUUGAUAUGCGAUUCAUGAGGUGUAAUUGCCUAAAUGCACCUUUUUGAAGAACUAUUCUGUUUGGAAGCACCUUCUGCUUUGUUUGCUGGUCUGAGUAGGCUGGGUUACUUUUAUGUUUGAAACAUUAUUUCAGGAGUUUGCUUAUAACAAUCAAUGUACCGUUUUACUUGAACGAUUAAAAGAUUGUUUAAUUUUAAUAACCUUAUAUACUCUCUCUCACUGUAUUUCGCCAAGACACUAAAAACCAUAAGGACUACUGAACAAACACUGCUUGUUGAAAUGUAUUACUAGAGCAUAAAUAAAAGUGAGUGUAAAGGCAGAUGAUUUUCAGGUUGGACAUCAGUAUUUAAUUGUUUGGGUGCCUUCAGGUUGUUCAGGCUAGCAUUUGGUAACUCUUGUCACUACUGUGGUGCUAUCCUAAGUUUCCAAAGCUAGCUUUUUCAUUUGUUCAGGCAAAUUCGAAACAAUUUACAGGAUGUGAUUUAAUGGUUUUUUUUUUGAGGCAAAAUGCUACCUGCUGUGAAUUAACAUCCUAAGUUUACACUGGGUAAGACCUAGCUGUGUACUUAGCUUGUGUAUUUUGUGUCCUUAACUUAAGGCUUGUGGAAGUUCUUAAUUUUUUUUUUUAGUUUAUUCAUGUUGACUGCAUAUAAUUUUCUUGAGCUUAUCUUCAGAAACCUCUAAGUUGUAUAAUUUUCUUGUUUUUGCCAUCUAAGUAUUUUAAAUUUAGUUUUGUAAAAGCUUUUCAUCUGAAUGAUGUUUGAGAUAGUGGAGACAAGUUGUCAAAGGACAGUCUGUCCCUUGUACCUCUGGGGGCAGUAGAACUGUGCCCCAGGAGGCCCUUAAGUUAGCAGGGAAGGAGCUCUGUGAUAGUGAAAUGACGUGCUACCGUCUGAAGCAAAGCUGGAGCAGACUCCCAUGUGAGCUGCUGUUGCAUUCAUGUUUUCUGAAAAAUCCCUUUGCCCAGGAUUUUUCUCCUGGGAGGCUGAGAAGCCUCAGAGAAAAAUGAAAACAAUUCUUAUCUCAUUUGCUUCUCCUGUGUUUUGCUGCUUUGGAAUGUGUUUGAAGAUUGUUUAUCCAACAGGUGAUUGUUUCAUUGGUUUCGCUGUGAUUUGUUUUGACUUACUGGCCAAUCAGGGUCAAGCAGUGUCAGGGCUCUGGAGAGAGUCAGGAGUUUUUAUUAUUAUCUUUUUAGCAUUCUGUAAGUAUCCUUUCUGUAUUCUUUAGUACAGUAUAGUUUGGUAUUCUUUAAUAUAAUAUAGUAUUAUAAAAUAAUAUAUUAGCCUUCUGAGAACAUGGAGUCAGAUUCAUCAUUAUUUCCUGCCACGAGGGACCCUGCAAAUACAAUAACCUGUAUCUUCCUGGUGGUGUUCAUAGAAUAACCAUUCAGUCCUGCUCUUUUCUGGUAUUGCUGUACUCCAAAGUCUAAUUUGAAACCAAGUGUUACGCACAGGCUCAUAAUGUUUCACAGAAACUGAGUAAUUAUUUAGUCUCAGCAAUACUGGAUAGAUAGUGAGCCCUCUCACUGAGAGAAGUGGUAAGGCUGCUCUGCAUCUCAGGAUGUGCAAAGAAAUGACUUUACUGCAUCAUAAAACUGUGUGUUAGAAUAUUUUAUCUUGUCAUAACCUAUUUCUGCUGUUCAUAAUAAACCUCAGCCUCGUCUUGUCCAGUUUUUGUGAUUUUUGUGCUAUUUUCAACCACUUGGAGAAAGUGGGAUAGCUGUUGUGGCCAAGCAGCACCCAUGGGGACCUUAAGCUGACUGAGCUGGUGCAGUCUUUCCAACACUCAUGCUUAGCCAGGGCAUGAUGGGCCUACAGAAAUGCACAUCUAUCAAUCUUGCAUUUGCUGCUGUGAAUCCUGUAGCUUUUGUGUGCUACCAGUAGGAGUUAGCAGAUUAAGUGUUGGUGCUGAGGACCAGGCUCUUUGAGCAGAAGACAUUAGCUUUUGUCUCGUCUCAAAUCCCUGGCUUUGGAAUUUGCUUACAGAAAGAAGCUAAGCAGGAACUUUGUCUUGGGUAACUAUAAAUAGAUUCUGAGUUAAUUGUGCCAAAACUGAAUUGAUGUUGAUUGGUACAAGACUUUGGUGUAUAGAGAAGUGAUUUUUUUGGCCUGCAAUUUAAUGGAAGACAGAAAACUUGAACUGCAGAUUUUAUUAGGCAUUUUGGACCCUCAGCUUUUGUUGGCUAGGUUUUAAGGGUGUGCUUGUUUGUAAUUGAUUCCCUAACUGAUAGAUGACUUUUGAGAUUCUGUUGUUUGUUCAUGGGUCACCACUUUUCUACUUGUCUUUAUCAUGUUUUGAAAAAUUCACUUCCCAUUGGAAAUGUUAAUUUUCCUUUGUGAACAUAAACAUGUAGACCAUCAGAUGAUGGUAAAUUUGAGCAUCCAGUAGUUAUUUAACUAGAAGCUUGAGUCUCAUAAUUGGCAGUGAUGGAAGGAGAAUAUAAAGUGAAUAUGGUUUGGCAGUCUCACUAGAAAGCAAAAAAAUUAACAAGUUCUCUUGUAAGGCAGUCACCUUUAUAUAUCACUGAUGGUUCCAGAUAUUCUUUAUAACACUAGAGUAGAAUAAGAAAAGCACUACCAGAAUUUUCUAUUACAGGAGAAAAAUCUGAUUGAUACAGGUUUUUUUUUUUUUUUUUAAGCUUGAUUGUCAUAAAACUCCAAACUCCAGGAAACUAAGGAGAGGAAGGAGAUUUUCUUGACAAACUCUUUUGCCAUGAUAUUUGUGUCUUUUUGUUAAAAAAGGCUUGUUGGAAAACUUGCAUAUUCACAAUUGUCUUUGAGUCUGUUCAUGAUUUUCCAAAUAAAAACACAGCAGAGCAAGAAAAACAGUGUCUUCUUUUGUAGGUGACUGCCAGGUGUUUUACAAGUGCAGCUUUUCAGUGUUGUCAGUGGUUCCUCUCUUUACUGAGGCAGAAUUACAUUUAAAUGGAGAGGGCUGUGAACUUUGCCUCUGCUCUUCGCUGCCUUGAGGAGGAAUUCACAUAGUUUUUAUCAGCACCUCAGUCUGAUGCUGCUCACCUGCUGCAGGCAGCCCAGCUGCCAGGUGCAGGAAGAGGGGUUUAGUUCUGGAGUGUAAACUGAUGCAAAGGAGGACUGGGAGAGGAAUUUUAAGUGGAACUGUUUUCCCUCACCACCUGCAGGGUGUAAGUUUGUGUUCAUGACUGACAGAGCCUCCUAUUAGACUGCUGUAUGCUGUUGAAGAUCAUAGGCCAAAAGGCACCUGGCAUGGUGAGCUCUCCUUCCCAGGGCUGGGCCAUUCAGCAGCUUUUGUUUUAAGUGGGUGUUGUAAACCUGCAGUGAUGGAGAAUUCAUAACCCCUUUUGGAUGAUUAACUGCCUUUCUGUUUGAAAAGUGUUUCCGAGUGUGUGACCUAUACCUUUUAGCACAGUUAAGCCUUUAGCUGCCUGUGUGUUCUUUAGUGGGUACGGAGAACAUCUGAUUCUUUUCUUUUGCGUAGCAACCUUUCCACAUAUUUGAAUGCUGUUAUGCCUUCUCUCUAUAGGCAUCUUGUGUUUAGGCUAAGUAGACCUAAUUCCUAAAAGCUUUUCUCAUAGGUCAUCUUCUCUAGAGCUCUGACCUUUCUUGUUCCAUUCCUCUGGACAUUCUCCAGUUUAUUUAUUUGCAUCAAUCUUCAAGUACAUUAGUAUGUUUAUCUAGCAUGUACAAUUUUGAUAAAUGUAGAGGAGGGAGGUUUUUUGUUGCCUUAUUCAAAAUACAGUUUAUGAAACAUUCCCAUUGAAGUCCCAGGACAGCUGAAACAUUGAUCAUACUCUGCCGUAAUUGACUUAAUGUUUUUUUUUAUAAGAUGAGAAAUACUGAAAUAGACUUCCACAGAAAAAUACUUACAGGAAAUAGUUUCUGAAUAAAACUGUUGAAGAUGGGGAAGUUGAUGUCUUGGUGCUAGUUUGUCCACUAUCCUUGUCAGAAUGUCUUGCUUCUCUGCUUCCAUUUUUUAAUGUGUCUGAAGUGAAUGCUGCUAAUUUAUAGACAUUUACAGUGGGUUUUUUUUAAGGAUUUGCUUUCACAGCUCAUUUAGGGCCACCACUGUUGUUCAUAAUAACCGUUCCUAGUAAUACUAUCUCUGAAUUGUUAAGUGAAGGAUUGUCAUCACACUUCUGUUAUUUGCUUUUAUUUUUUCCCCACUGUGGUUUCAAAAAUCCUCUGUCACCUUUUGUUUUUUUUUUUUUGGCUGUUUUAAUGUAAAAUCAUAUUAGUUGUUUGGUUUGAUUCAGUGCAAAUCUUAGUAAGUGUCUAUGCAUAUGCAUUGAGAUAUUGAGAAAGAAAGAAGGCAGAGUAUUACCUGGACUGAGUGGGCAAGAGAUGGCUUACAAGAGAUGGCUUGUCUUUCAUUUAGCACUAAGGCUUCCUUGUGCUGAGUUAAAUUAUGUGCUUGUGAAACUAGAGCUUUAGACUUGGAAUGCUUUGUUUUAGUGUUUUGUGCCGUGAUAGAUUUCUGCAAGUAUUUUGUGCAACUUGAUCUGGUAAAGAAUCCAUCUUGAUGCCAUUCAUUGGGGCCUUAAAAGAUCCUCCCCCCACCCAGUACGUUAGAAACCCUGGAUUUAUUGGUGUAUGUAACUUGAGAUCUUUCAACAGUUUAAGUCAUGACAAGCAAAGAAGUCUUGGCCACUUAAAAUAAGUGAAGGUAACACAUUGAAGAAACAUUAGAUCAGAGUUUAAUGUCAGACUUGCAAUAAGAACUGUGCAGGACUACAUUACAGCAAGAGUUUUACUAAUGCCUACUUAGCUUUUCCAGAUAAUUUUUAGAAAAACUUUUGCAGAAGUAAUAAGCUAUCAAAGAUGCUUUUAACACCUCCCUUUUGUGAGGCCAGAGUUUGGCCAAUGUGAAGAGAAUUGCAGUGGUUGGUGUAGAUUCGGUCUGUAAAGCUUCAGCUUUAGGUUUGUUUGUGGCAAUUUUACGGGUCACUUCCGUGGAUUCUUUGGAUUUCUUUAAACGAGUGAGGAUUUUACAAACUUUAAUUUGUGAAGUGUCCCGCUCGGUGUCACAGUGACGCCGUCCUGUGAGCCACUCGCUGCUAGAUGGCGCUGUGAGACCGCGCUGCCGCCUGAGGGGCGCUGCAACCGCUUCCCGAGACCCGCUUAAAUUAACAUUUAUUUAGGUUAAAAAUGCCAUUUUGUUGAAUUUUAUUUUCAAUUUAGUCACUUAAUUGAUCCCACUACAAAUGAUCUCCUGGCUCACGGCCUUGCUUUGCAUUGCUUGAAAGGACUCUAAAGUUCAGAGGAAACCCUAGCAAAUGAGGUUUUCACAGCCUUUGGUUUGAAGCAGUAAGGCAGCUUCUAGGAUGAAUUAAUAACAUGUAGUUGAUUCAAGCUGAGAUCUUUCCUCCUGUAUCUCAGUUAAUUUGGUUCUGCAGGAAAAGGAUUUUAUAAGGAAAAUAAUGUUUUUGUAUGAACUGAUUUGUAGGUUCUUACGUCAUUGUGAGAGCCACCUGUUGAAGGACUAUUCUUUUUCUUUCUAGAAAUCCAUGCCCAAAUUGUGAUUCAAUAAGGUAAUUAAGGGGUCUGCAUUUUUCAAACAUACUGUUGAUGGACACACAAAAAAAGGAAAAUUAAUGCAAACUGAAAACAUUUUUCUAAAUUUUGAGAUAUAUAUAUAUAUAUACAAAGGAAAAAAAUUUGAACAUCUCUGGACUAGGGCUGGGUUUGUUGUUUUUCUGAGACCUGGGACACAGAAAUGCCCGCUAAUCAGCCUCUCACGCCUGCAAAACCUUGUUUUAAGCUUCCAUAGCUGUAUUUUUUUCAUUUUCAUUAAUAUAGUCUAGCUUUUUGUAAAAGCAAUUCUACUCCCCUUAACAUGUACUUCAGGUACCAGGAACUAAAUCAAGAAUAACUUUGAUGUGUGGAAAGUGUGGAACCAGUUAAUGUCUUGCUAACAUCAAGGAGUGUGUGACUUGUGAAACAAACUGUGUGGUACUUGAUACUGAGUUGUACCCAGUUGCUUUAGACACAUUCCAGGAUUGAAAACACAUGUGCCAUCUAUGUUGCAAACCAUAUCCUCAAGAAACAGAUUCCUAAAAUGAAGGAUUUAAAGCCUGAUGAAUGAGGUGGAUUUAAGAUGUGUUUUAAAUGGAACUACUCGUAUGACUUUCUGUAUGCUAAAACAUGUAUUUUUUAACCUCUACCGAGUCUGAUUUUGUAGCAUUGAUUUCUGUAGCAUUGUUUCACAAAUGUUUUAAUAGUUACACCUUGAAAAUAGAGUAGUGUCUUCAAAAAUGUCAGUCUGGAAUAAACAAUGAAAAAACUUUGAAAAAGCCCCCAAGCAAAAAACUGUUGAAAUGGGACUUUCUGAGCUUAUUUAAAUGUACGUUUUAGCUGCUACACCAAAGUGAUGAUAAACAAAGCACUAUCUUGGGAAUGCUCAAAUAUCUAUCAAAAUAGUUGUUCAAAAAGUGCUUUCCCAUACAUCCCAUAAUUAAGUUUCUAAGUUAGGUCUGGUUAGCUAAGUGAAAAUAUACUUGCUUUCCUGAAGCACCCCCUGGAGGUAAGGAAUUCAAGUGUGUUGGCUUUUUUCCUUUCAUUUUAUGGGGAGUUCUGGUCUCAGGCAAGACACUUAAGAGAGAUGCAUAGCUUGAAAAGGUGUGAAUACCCAGUUAUUAAUACAGUAAGACCAAGUAUUUUGUUUUAACCUUAUCGUCUCCUAAAUUGCAUAAAUCCUUUCAAUGUUUAGUCAGCCUUACAGUUCUUUCAGUUUUUGUGUGUAGAGGUAAGCAUGUGAAGUGUGUUAAUAAGUUACCAUGAAGGUAAUGUGGUUAGGCUGACAACACAAUUUCAAGUUCAGUGCAACUUUCCAGUUUUUUACUUCUUGUUAGUUGAUAUUUUAUUAUUUGUGUGGGCUCGAGGUUUUGUGUUUUAAGUUCAGAGCUUCUACAAUGAACUUAGUUAGCCAUGAAUAAGUUGAUAAAAAUGAUCCUUGUUCCAGUUCUGCUUUGGCAAGUGUAAUUGCUAUGUCUUUCUGAUUGUGCCUCGUGUGAUAAUUUUAUUUGUGGAUUCAUACAUCACCAUUAAAGCAGAGAAGCAGGUACACAGUUCCUUGACACAUCCUGUAAACAGCUGCAGAUCAGUCUGUGCAUCUGACAAUGGACAGUAUCUGCUUAUUGGACUGUCUUGCCACCUGCUCAUAAAAUGCUAUUUCUGUCUGAAAAGAAACAGAUUCAGUCCAGUUCUGUAUAUAUACCCUGUGUUUAUACACUGAGCAGUAUCCUAUAAGCUAAAAGAAGCAAAACAGAAGGUGGAGGAGCCACUUGGUGCAAUGACACCAGUCUAACAUUCUGUGAUGGAGCUGUGAACUUGUUUGUCUGGUAAACCAGCACAGUGUUUGGCUGAAUUCUAUCCAUGAUGUCAAUAUUUACACGAUUUCUUUUUGUGUCUGUGAAAAGAAUAAGACUAUUAAAAGUUUUUCCCUAAUAUGAUGUGUUAAAUAUUCUUAGUCCUUGUAUGUUAAGGGUUACAUGAUGUUUUUGUUUUGUAAAUAAAUAGUCAAACUGAAA